UUCUCUCCCCCACGCGUGAUCUCCCUUCUUUCCCCCUCACCAUCGCAUAUUUUUCUUCUUCUUCUUACUUUUCUUUCUUCUCCCCCUCUCGGCCGAACCAUCUCUCUCUCUCUUCUCUCUUCUUCUUCCUUCGAUCACGCCCAAACCUGCAGCAUCUGAACUCUCACACACACAUACUUGAACCCACACACACCCGUGGCAGAGAAAGUCGAGAGUGUUGAGCUGAGUGAAACCCAGCGCGCGAGAGAGAGUGAACCUGUGUGUGGGAGGUGGGUUUGGCCGUGGGUGGUGCGAUGAUGGAAGCUAUGGUGGUUGGGCCACCAUCGGGGCAUGGAGGCAGCGGUUAGGGCAAUGUAUUCCGGCCAUAUUUCGGAUCGUGUCAUAGUUGGAGACUUCAACGGGUUCUCCAAUGUAGAGUUCGAGUCGUGAGUCCAAUGCAGCCAAGAUGAUGUUUCUUUGGCUGCAGGUACUACGGUAUAGUCGAUGGGUCGGUAGCAGUGUGCUUGAGAUAUUAUGACUGAAGCUCGCCGCGACAGUUGUAAUGGUCGGACCACGGGUUGUCCACUAUUUUAUAGGUUUGGUAUGGCUUGUGACGUUUGUGUCACUUAUUCUUUGUUAAGUCAUUAUUGUUAUGUAAAUAUUGUGUUAAUAAGACUCAAACAGAUAGAUGUUAAAUGGCUCAAUAUUGUAAUUAAUUUGUGUUA